AAAUUGAAGAGUUUGAUCAUGGCUCAGAUUGAACGCUGGCGGCAGGCCUAACACAUGCAAGUCGAACGGUAGCACAGAGAGCUUGCUCUCGGGUGACGAGUGGCGGACGGGUGAGUAAUGUCUGGGAAACUGCCCGAUGGAGGGGGAUAACUACUGGAAACGGUAGCUAAUAC
rnacentral:rRNA from 1 species